GUUAUCCCUAAAGUUGUAUUAAUUCAAAAUACUUAGAUUCAAUAAACAUAAAUUCCAACUUUUUUGCUCAGUUACUCAAUUUGUUUAGUUUGUUGUACGAUUUGCAUGAUAUUUUUGAUUCUACUGGAUUGUUUAAAUUGAAUGUACUUAACAGAGCUUGUUUUAGUCUGUUGUCAAAGGAGUGAUGUGUAAGGGGAAAUGUGAUUGGCUCUUUGUCUUUGGGCUGACGUCACUGGUGAACACAGCGUGAGCGCGCAUUUUCUAAUGGCUGCUGAUCACUAUUCCAGAAAGGUCAAAGCAAGGCCAACCAGGAUGAGAUGAAAAUGUGUAUCAGGAAUCCAACCAGAUAGUUAGCAAGAAUUAUAUUGGUCUCUUGAUCAUCACUGCCCACAACUGAUUCAGAUCUUCAGGUCACAGAGAGGUCUCACUGGACAGAUUUUUAUCUACUACAAGAUGUCAAGGCCUCUGACCUCACUGACAUGCGAGGUGUUUUCAUUUGAGUGCUUCCAGUAGUUUGAAGCAGUUCUUCAAAGCAUGUUUUG